rnacentral:rRNA from 1 species
UACGUAGGGACCAAGCGUUGUUCGGAUUUACUGGGCGUAAAGGGCGCGUAGGCGGCUUGUCAAGUCACUUGUGAAAUCCCCGGGCUUAACCUGGGAACUGCAUUUGUGACUGCAUAGCUAGAGUACGGUAGAGGGGGAUGGAAUUCCGCGUGUAGCAGUGAAAUGCGUAGAUAUGCGGAGGAACACCGAUGGCGAAGGCAAUCCCCUGGACCUGUACUGACGCUCAUGCACGAAAGCGUGGGGAGCAAACAGG